CUGACUGUAAAGCAGAAGAUUGAUAUCUGGACUGUGUUAAAUGUUGUCAAAGAAAAUAUUGAGAGAAGCUUCCGUUAAACAGAUAUUACAUGAAGCAGAUUUAGAUGGAGACGAUCAACUAUCUUUUGCCGAAUUCGAAAACGUCAUGUCUAAAGCUUUAGAUUUUCUUAGAGUAUUUCGUAUUCGAUUGUAAUUUCAGCAGAAUCAUGGAUGUUUAAAAACAUUGAAUAUGGUUGAUUCACAAGGUGCUUUACAGUACAAUGUAUCAUAUAAUAACUUCCACUUUGAACAUUUUAGCAUGAUCUAAUUAAUGGCUAAUGGAAACAGCAAAGCAUAAUUAUUUAACAUUUAUAAAAUAUUACUCGUACAUAACUGUAUUACUGUUGCAGGUAGCGAACCUGCAACAGUAACCUGCAACGCGUGUUUAUAUAACUCUACAGAAAAUUGGAAAAUGUUUUCUAUUUCUUAAAUGUAACAUAUUCAUUCAACAAGAACAUUUCAAA